rfam:Felis catus cont1.340941, whole genome shotgun sequence.
UGCUUGUGCGUUUAAAUGGGUGUGGUGCUAAGUAUAUCUUGUUUACCUUAUCUUUCUGUGGAAAAAGUUUUGAAGUCUGGUUGGGUUUGUCACAUCAUGCCUGUUGCCUAGCACUGCCUAAAGUGCUCUUAUCUAGCAACAGGCUGGGUAGGUGGAGGUCGUGGCUUGGC